AGAGCCCCCGCUGUUCUCUCUGUCCACACAAACACCUGCUCGCCAUGAGACUCAGGUGUUUCCCUGGACUGGGGGCAGAGCGAGGGGCGAG
rnacentral:pre_miRNA from 1 species